rnacentral:tRNA from 2 species
AGCUCCGAGGUGUAUAUCAUGUGAGAUUGCAAAUCUUAAGAAGUAGGCUAACCCCCUACCGGGGCUU